rnacentral:rRNA from 1 species
GUGGGGAAUUUUGGACAAUGGGCGCAAGCCUGAUCCAGCAAUGCCGCGUGCAGGAAGAAGGCCUUCGGGUUGUAAACUGCUUUUGUACGGAACGAAAAGGCUCUGGUUAAUACCUGGGGCUCAUGACGGUACCGUAAGAAUAAGCACCGGCUAACUACGUGCCAGCAGCCGCGGUAAUACGUAGGGUGCAAGCGUUAAUCGGAAUUACUGGGCGUAAAGCGUGCGCAGGCGGUUUUGUAAGACAGACGUGAAAUCCCCGGGCUCAACCUGGGAAUGGCGUUUGUGACUGCAAAGCUGGAGUGCGGCAGAGGGGGAUGGAAUUCCGCGUGUAGCAGUGAAAUGCGUAGAUAUGCGGAGGAACACCGAUGGUGAAGGCAAUCCCCUGGGCCUGCACUGACGCUCAUGCACGAAAGCGUGGGGAGCAAACAGGAUUAGAUACCCCAGUAGUCC